rnacentral:rRNA from 1 species
GACAGAGGUGCCAAGCAUUAGGCGGAAUCACUGGGCUUAAAGCGUGUGUAGGCGGAAUGGUAAGUACCUUGUGAAAUCCCACGGCUCAACCGUGGAACUGCUUGGUAUACUGCUUUUCUUGAGCCACUUAGGGGCAACCGGAACAAACGGUGGAGCGGUGAAAUGCGUAGAUAUCGUUUGGAACGCCAAUGGUGAAAACAGGUUGCUGGGAGUGUGCUGACGCUGAGACACGAAAGCCAGGGGAGCAAACGGG